UACGUAGGGUGCAAGCGUUGUCCGGAAUUAUUGGGCGUAAAGAGCUCGUAGGCGGUCUGUCGCGUCUGCUGUGAAAACUCGGGGCUUAACCCCGGGCCUGCAGUGGGUACGGGCAGACUAGAGUGCGGUAGGGGAGACUGGAAUUCCUGGUGUAGCGGUGAAAUGCGCAGAUAUCAGGAGGAACACCGGUGGCGAAGGCGGGUCGCUGGGCCGUAACUGACGCUGAGGAGCGAAAGCAUGGGGAGCGAACAGG
rnacentral:rRNA from 1 species